AUUGAACGCUGGCGGCAUGCCUUACACAUGCAAGUCGAACGGCAGCACGGGAGCAAUCCUGGUGGCGAGUGGCGAACGGGUGAGUAAUACAUCGGAACGUGCCCAAUCGUGGGGGAUAACGCAGCGAAAGCUGUGCUAAUACCGCAUACGAUCUACGGAUGAAAGCAGGGGACCGCAAGGCCUUGCGCGAAUGGAGCGGCCGAUGGCAGAUUAGGUAGUUGGUGGGGUAAAGGCUCACCAAGCCAACGAUCUGUAGCUGGUCUGAGAGGACGACCAGCCACACUGGGACUGAGACACGGCCCAGACUCCUACGGAGGCAGCAGUGGGGAAUUUUGGACAAUGGGCGCAAGCCUGAUCCAGCCAUGCCGCGUGCAGGAUGAAGGCCUUCGGGUUGUAAACUGCUUUUGUACGGAACGAAACGGCCCUUUCUAAUAAAGAGGGCUAAUGACGGUACCGUAAGAAUAAGCACCGGCUAACUACGUG
rnacentral:rRNA from 1 species